rnacentral:rRNA from 1 species
AGAACGAACGCUGGCGGCAUGCCUAACACAUGCAAGUCGAACGAGAUCCUUCGGGGUCUAGUGGCGCACGGGUGCGUAACGCGUGGGAAUCUGCCCUUAGGUACGGAAUAACUCAGGGAAACUUGUGCUAAUACCGUAUGAUGUCUUCGGACCAAAGAUUUAUCGCCUAGGGAUGAGCCCGCGUAGGAUUAGCUAGUUGGUGGGGUAAAGGCCUACCAAGGCGACGAUCCUUAGCUGGUCUGAGAGGAUGAUCAGCCACACUGGGACUGAGACACGGCCCAGACUCCUACGGGAGGCAGCAGUGGGGAAUAUUGGACAAUGGGCGAAAGCCUGAUCCAGCAAUGCCGCGUGAGUGAUGAAGGCCUUAGGGUUGUAAAGCUCUUUUACCCGGGAUGAUAAUGACAGUACCGGGAGAAUAAGCUCCGGCUAACUCCGUGCCAGCAGCCGC